rnacentral:rRNA from 1 species
GACGAACCGUGCGAACGUUAUUCGGAAUCACUGGGCUUAAGGCGCGUGUAGGCGGAUGAGCACGUCUGUCGCUGAAAUCCCCCGGCUCAACCGGGGAACGGGCGCGGAUACGGCUCGUCUCGAGGGGCGUAGGGGGACCUGGAACUUCCGGUGGAGCGGUGAAAUGCGUUGAGAUCGGAAGGAACGCCCGUGGCGAAAGCGAGGUCCUGGACGCCUACUGACGCUGAGACGCGAAAGCCAGGGGAGCGAACGGG